CCUGGUGGUUAUAGCGAAAGCAUUACACCCGAUCCCAUCUCGAACUCGGCCGUGAAAACUUUCAGCGCCGAUGGUACUGCGUCUUAAGGCGUGGGAGAGUAGGUCACUGCCAGGU
rfam:Candidatus Endolissoclinum faulkneri L5, complete genome.